GAUGAACGCUGGCGGCGUGCCUAAUACAUGCAAGUCGAGCGAACAGACGAGGAGCUUGCUCCUCUGACGUUAGCGGCGGACGGGUGAGUAACACGUGGAUAACCUACCUAUAAGACUGGGAUAACUUCGGGAAACCGGAGCUAAUACCGGAUAAUAUAUUGAACCGCAUGGUUCAAUAGUGAAAGACGGUUUUGCUGUCACUUGUAGAUGGAUCCGCGCCGCAUUAGCUAGUUGGUAAGGUAACGGCUUACCAAGGCGACGAUGCGUAGCCGACCUGAGAGGGUGAUCGGCCACACUGGAACUGGGACACGGUCCAGACUCCUACGGGAGGCAGCAGUAGGGAAUCUUCCGCAAUGGGCGAAAGCCUGACGGAGCAACGCCGCGUGAGUGAUGAAGGUCUUCGGAUCGUAAAACUCUGUUAUUAGGGAAGAACAAAUGUGUAAGUAACUAUGCACGUCUUGACGGUACCUAAUCAGAAAGCCACGGCUAACUACGUG
rnacentral:rRNA from 1 species